rnacentral:snRNA from 1 species
CAGCUGCGCCGUGAGCACAUAGCGAACUAUUCUUUCGCCUUUUACUAAAGAAUACCAUGUGCUCGCUGCUUUUCAAACAGCAUACGCCUCUUUUUGGAAGGUUUUUUCCUCUUAAGAAAU